UACGUAGGGUGCGAGCGUUGUCCGGAAUUAUUGGGCGUAAAGAGCUCGUAGGCGGCCUGUUGCGUCGGUUGUGAAAGCCCGGGGCUCAACCCCGGAACUGCCUUCGAUACUGGGUAUCUUGAGUUCGGAAGAGGUGAGUGGAAUUGCGAGUGUAGAGGUGAAAUUCGUAGAUAUUCGGAAGAACACCAGUGGCGAAGGCGACUCGCUGGACAGACAUUGACGCUGAGGUGCGAAAGCGUGGGGAGCAAACAGG
rnacentral:rRNA from 1 species